GCAGUAUCACAUGCUUCAUGUGAAAUAUUUCAAUGCUGUAAUUUACUGCUUUGAAAAAUGAGUGAGCCCGCUCCCUUUGACAUGCCUCUUUGAAACAUGGAAUAUUUAAAAUUCAUAACCAAACUUAAUGUAUAGAUAGAUCACACAUUUUUAUGACUUCACUGAUGUAAUAAGAGCCUUGUAAUAUCUCAAAAGAUAUGUUUUAUCCCUCCUAAUGUGUAUCAUGUGCAGAUUAAGAAGCUAUAUCAUUGCCUUCAAAAUGACCUGCUAUUUCCUGGAAACUGUAAUUUGCUGGACCUGUCCUUGUCACUGGGACACAACCUUUACUCUCUUGGGCUCAGCAUCUCCCAGGAAGAUAACUUCUUCAGCUGGGCACCAGCAAUUUUUAUCUAACGAUUCUCAAGAGGUGGCCACAGAAGCUGUUGAACUGAUAGUCAUUUUUAGCAGCUAUUUGAUUUAUUUAAAAAGCCUCACUUCCACCCCGAAGCCCCGUAUUUCAUAAUCCUGUGAAUGUCAAACUCAUUCUUUCUGUAACUGAGCUCUCAGAAUACACAUGCCAUCACACACCCAGGACGUGCAGCCCCGAUGGAGUCAGGAGACCCCUGGGCAGGUCCCGGAAGGAGAACUGCUCUGUGGAACAGCUGGCCUGGGCUCUCCAAAAUUACCCGCGUCACUAAUGACCAAGAAGGGUCUUCCAGAGAAGUAAAGCUGUGGCAACUAAACCCAACACGUGAGCCCAAACCGCAUCCUGGACUCCAGCUGGGGAACGCCUCCAGGGACAUUAUCGGGAUGACUGGCAAGGUUAGCAUAUGGACUGCAGAUCACGCUGCUGUGUGACGGUCGGGUCCCUUGACUUUAAGAGCUGUGCUGUGGAAACACAAGGGAACACUCUGCUCCUUGUUCUUGGGAAAAAACCAAAGCACUAAGGGACAGAGAAGUGGGAUGCCGACAACGUAUGAAAUGCAUUUCCAAAUGGCUCUAGGAAAAUUUAAUUUUUUCACAGAAUCAAUACCUCGGCAAAUGACUCUGUACCCUCCUGGUGUCUUCCCGUUCCUUGUUUUGUGUCAUCCUCACAGCUGUCAAAUGAAACGACUCAGGCGAAGAGCUCCAACCACGGCCCUCUCCGUGCUGAGCAUUCGCUGCCUCCACUGCCACAUGCACGGAUUCUUAAAAAGCGACGAAAGGGCGGAACCCUGACUUCCUCCAAGAGGGGCAAGCCCAGGACUUCCAGGCACAGGCAGUGGGCGACCUCGAUGUCUUUCCAGGUGCUCAGUUCUCCGCAUUCUGCCCUGAGGGAGUAGGGGUGAUCCGACUGGCAUCACAUAUCUUGAGAUAUUCAUUUGCAUAAACACAGCGGCACCCAGAUCUUGGCUUCUAAUCCCACCCUCCAGUAAAAGGAACCAGGGGUCCUUGGAGAAAUGGGUCUAGGACUGGAGCAGGGAACGCACAGAUGAGCCUGGGUGUCCUGCAGUGCCAGAAAACCAGGCUGUGCCCAAAGAGGCAGCUGUGAACAGACCCCGGAGGCCGGCAGAAAGGGCUCCCUGUGGCCAACACUGGAAAAACCUGAGCAAGAAAGUAGGCUGGGCGCGGUGGCUCACGCCUGUAAUCCCAGCACUUU
rnacentral:lncRNA from 1 species